rnacentral:rRNA from 1 species
GACGAACGCUGGCGGCGUGCCUAAUACAUGCAAGUUGAGCGCUGAAGGUUGGUACUUGUACCAACUGGAUGAGCAGCGAACGGGUGAGUAACGCGUGGGGAAUCUGCCUUUGAGCGGGGGACAACAUUUGGAAACGAAUGCUAAUACCGCAUAAAAACUUUAAACACAAGUUUUAAGUUUGAAAGAUGCAAUUGCAUCACUCAAAGAUGGUCCCGCGUUGUAUUAGCUGGUUGGUGAGGUAAAGGCUCACCAAGGCGAUGAUACAUAGCCGACCUGAGAGGGUGAUCGGCCACAUUGGGACUGAGACACGGCCCAAACUCCUACGGGAGGCAGCAGUAGGGAAUCUUCGGCAAUGGACGAAAGUCUGACCGAGCAACGCCGCGUGAGUGAAGAAGGUUUUCGGAUCGUAAAACUCUGUUGGUAGAGAAGAACGUUGGUGAGAGUGGAAAGCUCAUCAAGUGACGGUAACUACCCAGAAAGGGGCGGCUAACUACGUG